UACGAAGGGGGCUAGCGUUGCUCGGAAUCACUGGGCGUAAAGGGUGCGUAGGCGGGUCUUUAAGUCAGAGGUGAAAUCCUGGAGCUCAACUCCAGAACUGCCUUUGAUACUGAGGAUCUUGAGUUCGGGAGAGGUGAGUGGAACUGCGAGUGUAGAGGUGAAAUUCGUAGAUAUCUGGAGGAACACCGGUGGCGAAGGCGGCAUCCUGGACCGAUACUGACGCUGAGGAGCGAAAGCCAGGGGAGCAAACGGG
rnacentral:rRNA from 1 species